rnacentral:lncRNA from 1 species
AUCUCAGCCUGUAAUCAGGAAUUGAUGACCUCUCUGUGAGCAAGCAAUCCUGGGUUUCCUCAUUGGGUUCAGCUGUGGGAUCAGGUGUGUACCAUUUGGGAAGCAAUAAAAGCCGCUUGUGGGAACCUGGUCAUAAAAUUUGGUUGUGCUGAUCAAGCAGGUUCUCUGAGAGACAGCUGGAGGGAAAGGUUGCAGAUGAUUCAGAGAAAGGAGAUGUUUUGAUGUCUUGCCAAAAGGCAAAACACUAUGUCCUUACGUGAUGCCGAUGAAAGGAGCUCCAUUUUCUUCAGUACACAUUUAUAGCAGCUGUCUGGCUCGCAUUUGCAUUGGGCUGACUGAUGAACACCUGGAAGUAGUCUGAGGCUGA